rnacentral:rRNA from 1 species
GACGAACGCUGGCGGCGUGCCUAAUACAUGCAAGUUGAGCGCUGAAGGUUGGUACUUGUACCAACUGGAUGAGCAGCGAACGGGUGAGUAACGCGUGGGGAAUCUGCCUUUGAGCGGGGGACAACAUUUGGAAACGAAUGCUAAUACCGCAUAAAAACUUUAAACACAAGUUUUAAGUUUGAAAGAUGCAAUUGCAUCACUCAAAGAUGAUCCCGCGUUGUAUUAGCUAGUUGGUGAGGUAAAGGCUCACCAAGGCGAUGAUACAUAGCCGACCUGAGAGGGUGAGCGGCCACAUUGGGACUGGGACACGGCACAAACUCCUACGGGAGGCAGCAGUAGGGAAUCUUCGGCAAUGGGCGAAAGUCUGACCGAGCAACGCCGCGUGAGGGAAGAAGGUUUUCGGAUCGUAAAACUCUGUUGGUAGAGAAGAACGUUGGUGAGAGUGGAAAGCUCAUCAAGUGACGGUAACUACCCAGAAAGGGACGGCUAACUACGUG